rnacentral:rRNA from 1 species
AGAACGAACGCUGGCGGCAUGCCUAAUACAUGCAAGUCGAACGAACUCUUCGGAGUUAGUGGCGCACGGGUGCGUAACGCGUGGGAAUCUGCCCCUUGGUUCGGAAUAACAGUUGGAAACGACUGCUAAUACCGGAUGAUGACGAAAGUCCAAAGAUUUAUCGCCAAGGGAUGGGCCCGCGUAGGAUUAGCUAGUUGGUGAGGUAAAGGCUCACCAAGGCAACGAUCCUUAGCUGGUCUGAGAGGAUGAUCAGCCACACUGGGACUGAGACACGGCCCAGACUCCUACGGGAGCAGCAGUAGGGAAUAUGGACAAUGGGCGAAAGCCUGAUCCAGCAAUGCCGCGUGAGUGAUGAAGGCCUUAGGUUGUAAAGCUCUUUUACCCGAGAUGAUAAUGACAGUAUCGGAGAAUAAGCCCCGGACUAACUCCGUGCCAGCAGCCGC